AUUGCACAAUAAUUACACAUUUUAUUAUGUUACCGUGUCCGGCAGAUAUUAUCGAUUUAUUUCCACGAUUAAUUCAUAAAACAUGUAGAACCGUCGUCAUACUAUUUGUCUGCGCGGACAUUCCAUACACCCACGUAAUAAUUUUUGAUUUAGUCACUUAUAUCACGUCCGUAUGGUACGUUGAAGUUAAAUCAUAGUUACUCACGCUGAUAUACGCGGCCCCGUAUUUAGCAAUGGCGAACAUUGAGGUACUCCGAUGACGCCGGAAUACAAUAACUCCGAUUUCGUCGCAGUGUUGUUCCCCGUGAAUCAGUCCCUUUC